rnacentral:rRNA from 1 species
GACGAACGCUGGCGGCGUGCUUAACACAUGCAAGUCGAACGGUGAACGAGGGAGCUUGCUCCCUCCGGAUCAGUGGCGCACGGGUGAGUAACACGUGAGCAAUCUGCCCCGAACUCUGGGAUAAGCGUUGGAAACGACGUCUAAUACCGGAUACGACGCGGGAGGGCAUCCUCUCCGCGUGGAAAGAACUUCGGUUCGGGAUGAGCUCGCGGCCUAUCAGCUUGUUGGUGAGGUAACGGCUCACCAAGGCGACGACGGGUAGCCGGCCUGAGAGGGUGACCGGCCACACUGGGACUGAGACACGGCCCAGACUCCUACGGGAGGCAGCAGUGGGGAAUAUUGCACAAUGGGCGCAAGCCUGAUGCAACAACGCCGCGUGAGGGACGACGGCCUUCGGGUUGUAAACCUCUUUUAGCAGGGAAGAAGCGAAAGUGACGGUACCUGCAGAAAAAGCACCGGCUAACUACGUG